GGUGCGCCUCAGGAUACAUGGGCAGCACUUGGCAGAUGUGCAAACAGCUCACUCAGUCCGCAGAAACGUUUUCUGUUUAGUUUUAUUUUUGCGUGCUGAGGAUUAAACCCUGGGCCUUGACACGGAGCUACAGCCCCACCUGUUUUUUUGUUUUGUUUUGUUUUUUUUAAUUUCAGACAAGUUCUUCCCAUAUUGCAAGAGUUGCCCUGAUUGGUUUAUCUCACAGUUCUCCUGCAUCAGCCUCCCAGAGCUCUGGGAUUACCGAGCUUCUCUUUCUCGCCAGCCCGGAGCCUGCUCCGGCCCCUGCUGAUAACUCUUAACAGAGUGGACAGAUAUACAAUUCCUGGGAAGAGUGAGGAGCUCGGGCAAGGUUGCUGUCACCAUCUGGACCCCAAAGGAUCUGGCGAGUGGAGCACACGGGGAGCGCUGGUCUUUCUGGCAGCCCAUCAGCCCUGGCGUGCAGAUAAAAAGACAUGAAAAGGAGUCAGAUUGUAUAAUUGUCGCUCGGCGCUGUAACUAGCAGAGGAGUGGACCCACGUUACUUCUGUAAGCAAGAUAGAGGAGGCACUUGGUAGCAGAAAGCAUCAAUCCAGUGUUGAAAGAAGUCCUUUGCCGUGGGCAAAGAAACAAGGACCUCCAGGACUCCUUCCUGAAUGAUUCCUCCUCCUCCUGAAUGAUUCCUCUCGACCUCUCUGUCACCUGCCACACUUCCUGACACUACAAGAGUAGUCCCAAGACACGUGAGCCAUGAUGACGGCAAUUCCGAUCUGCCAGUAAGAAUCUCUAAAGUGUCUCCUUCAAAUAUCGUUUCACAUUCUCACAAGAAGAAUGGUCAUGUUAAUAUAAUAAAAUAU